rnacentral:rRNA from 1 species
CCUACGGGAGGCAGCAGUGAGGAAUAUUGGGCAAUGGGCGCAAGCCUGACCCAGCCACGUCGCGUGAAGGAUGACGGCCCUACGAGUUGUAAACUUCGUUUGUAGGGGAGUAAGGUGAGGCACGUGUGCCUCUUUGUAUGUACUUUAUGAGUAAGGAUCGGCUAACUCCGUGCCAGCAGCCGCGGUAAUACGGAGGAUCCGGGCGUUAUCCGGAUUUAUUGGGUUUAAAGGGAGCGUAGACGGGGUGUUAAGUCAGUUGUGAAAGUUUGCGGCUCAACCGUAAAAUUGCAAUUGAUACUGGCAGUCUGGAGUAUAGUUGAGGUAGGUGGAAUUCGUGGUGUAGCGGUGAAAUGCUUAGAUAUCACGAAGAACACCGAUGGCGAAGGCAGCUUACUAAACUGCAACUGACAUUGAGGCGCGAAAGUGUGGGUAGCAAACAGGAUUAGAUACCCGAGUAGUC